CGAUGAUGCAUAGCCCGAGUUGAGAGACUGAUCGGCCACAUUGGGACUGAGACACGGCCCAAACUCCUACGGGAGGCAGCAGUAGGGAAUCUUCCACAAUGGACGCAAGUCUGAUGGAGCAAACGCCGCGUGAGUGAAGAAGGUUUUCGGAUCGUAAAGCUCUGUUGUUGGUGAAGAAGGAUAGAGGUAGUAACUGGCCCUUUAUUUGACGGUAAUCAACCAGAAAGUCACGGGCUAACUACGUGCCAGCAGCCGCGGUAAAAU
rnacentral:rRNA from 1 species